GAUGAACGCUAGCGGCAGGCCUAAUACAUGCAAGUCGAACGGUGUCUUCGGACAUAGUGGCGCACGGGUGCGUAACACGUAUGCAACCUACCUUACAUUGGGGGAUAGCCUUUCGAAAGGGAGAUUAAUACCGCAUAAGACAGUAGCUGGGCAUCCAGCAGCUGUUAAAGAUUUAUCGAUGUAAGCUGGGCAUGCGUCCAAUUAGCUGGUUGGUGAGGUAACGGCUCACCAAGGCAAAGAUUGGUAGGGGAACUGAGAGGUCAAUCCCCCACACUGGCACUGAGAUACGGGCCAGACUCCUACGGGAGGCAGCAGUAGGGAAUAUUGGGCAAUGGACGCAAGUCUGACCCAGCCAUGCCGCGUGCAGGAUGAAGGCGUUAUGCGUUGUAAACUGCUUUUAUACAGGAAGAAACGACUCUUGCGAGAGGCAUUGACGGUACUGUAUGAAUAAGCACCGGCUAACUCCGUGCCAGCCGCCGCAGUAAAAC
rnacentral:rRNA from 1 species